UAAGGAAUAUUGGUCAAUGGGCGGAAGCCUGAACCAGCCAUGCCGCGUGCAGGAAGACGGCCCUACGGGUUGUAAACUGCUUUUGCAGGGGAAUAAACCCCCGUAUGUAUACGGGGCUGAAUGUACCUUGAGAAUAAGGAUCGGCUAACUCCGUGCCAGCAGCCGCGGUAAUACGGAGGAUCCAAGCGUUAUCCGGAUUUAUUGGGUUUAAAGGGUGCGUAGGCGGCCUAUUAAGUCAGGGGUGAAAGACGGUAGCUUAACUAUCGCAGUGCCUUUGAUACUGAUGGGCUUGAAUAUACUAGAGGUAGGCGGAAUGUGACAAGUAGCGGUGAAAUGCAUAGAUAUGUCACAGAACACCAAUUGCGAAGGCAGCUUACUAUGGUAUGAUUGACGCUGAGGCACGAAAGCGUGGGGAUCAAACAGGAUUAGAUACCCCGUAGUCC
rnacentral:rRNA from 1 species